rnacentral:rRNA from 1 species
GUGGGGAAUAUUGGACAAUGGGCGAAAGCCUGAUCCAGCCAUGCCGCGUGAGUGAUGAAGGCCUUAGGGUUGUAAAGCUCUUUCAGUAGGGAAGAUAAUGACGGUACCUACAGAAGAAGCCCCGGCUAACUUCGUGCCAGCAGCCGCGGUAAUACGAAGGGGGCUAGCGUUGUUCGGAUUUACUGGGCGUAAAGCGCACGUAGGCGGAUUGGUCAGUUAGAGGUGAAAUCCUGGAGCUCAACUCCAGAACUGCCUUUAAUACUGCCAGUCUAGAGUCCAGAAGAGGUGAGUGGAACUCCUAGUGUAGAGGUGGAAUUCGUAGAUAUUAGGAAGAACACCAGUGGCGAAGGUGGCUCACUGGUCUGGUACUGACGCUGAGGUGCGAAAGCGUGGGGAGCAAACAGGAUUAGAAACCCUUGUAGUCC